rnacentral:rRNA from 1 species
GAUGAACGCUGGCGGCGUGCCUAAUACAUGCAAGUCGAGCGAACGGACGAGAAGCUUGCUUCUCUGAUGUUAGCGGCGGACGGGUGAGUAACACGUGGAUAACCUACCUAUAAGACUGGGAUAACUUCGGGAAACCGUAGCUAAUACCGGAUAAUAUUUUGAACCGCAUGGUUCAAAAGUGAAAGACGGUCUUGCUGUCACUUAUAGAUGGAUCCGCGCUGCAUUAGCUAGUUGGUAAGGUAACGGCUUACCAAGGCAACGAUGCAUAGCCGACCUGAGAGGGGGAUCGGCCACACUGGAACUGAGACACGGUCCAGACUCCUACGGGAGGCAGCAGUAGGGUAUCUUCCGCAAUGGGCGAAAGCCUGACGGAGCAACCCCGCGUGAGUGAUGAAGGUCUUCGGAUCGUAAAACUCUGUUAUUAGGGAAGAACAUAUGUGUAAGUAAAUGUGCACAUCUUGACGGUACCUAAUCAGAAAGCCACGGCUAACUACGUG